rnacentral:rRNA from 1 species
UACAGAGGUCUCAAGCGUUGUUCGGAUUCAUUGGCGUAAAGGGUGCGUAGGUGGCGCGCUAAGUCAGGUGUGAAAUUCGGAGCUUAACUCCGAAACUGCAUUGAUACUGGCGUGCUUGAGGACUGGAGAGGAGACUGGAAUUCACGGUGUAGCAGUGAAAUGCGUAGAUAUCGUGAGGAAGACCAGUGGCGAAGGCGGGUCUCUGGACAGUCCUGACACUGAGGCAGCGAAGGCCAGGGAGCAAACGGG